GCCCGCUUAGCUCAGUGGUAGAGCGCAUCACUUGUAGGAAACAUUACGAGUUCAUGAUGAGGUCAGUCGUUCAAUCCGGCUAGUGGGCA
rnacentral:tRNA from 1 species